AUUGAACGCUGGCGGCAGGCCUAACACAUGCAAGUCGAACGGUAACAGGAAGAAGCUUGCUUCUUUGCUGCCGAGUGGCGGACGGGUGAGUAAUGUCUGGGAAACUGCCUGAUGGAGGGGGAUAACUACUGGAAACGGUAGCUAAUACCGCAUAACGUCGCAAGACCAAAGAGGGGGACCUUCGGGCCUCUUGCCAUCCGAUGUGCCUAGAUGGGAUUAGCUAGUAGGUGGGGUAACGGCUCACCUAGGCGACGAUCCCUAGCUGGUCUGAGAGGAUGACCAGCCACACGGGAACUGAGACACGGUCCAGACUCCUACGGGAGGCAGCAGUGGGGAAUAUUGCACAAUGGGCGCAAGCCUGAUGCAGCCAUGCCGCGUGUAUGAAGAAGGCCUUCGGGUUGUAAAGUACUUUCAGCGGGGAGGAAGGGAGUAAAGUUAAUACCUUUGCUCAUUGACGUUACCCGCAGAAGAAGCACCGGCUAACUCCGUG
rnacentral:rRNA from 1 species